CUACUCACUUUUGUAGCACAUAUACUAAAAUUGGAAUGCUGCAGGGAAGACUGACUAACAUGGCCUCCACACAAGGAUGACAUACAAACUUGUGAAGUGCUCCAUAUUAAA
ensembl:snRNA U6 U6 spliceosomal RNA